CUUUCAGCUAAGCUUUGUAUCAUCAGCACCAAAGCAUGAUUUGCCAAUUCAACCUUAUUAUCAAAAUCGUCCCCCAAGUCUUCUAAUCCCAAUAUUUUGAAAAACUUUUCAUCAAAGCCACAUCCAAUCUUAACGGCCAUUAAGUGUCUUCUCAGGGUAUCUACACAAGGAAGUGGUAAAAGAUUUUGCUCUCGUAGAAAUUUAUAGCCACUAGGAGAUCUAAAUAGAGCAGAAGACUGUUCUAUGAAAGAAAUUGUAUGCUGUUUAUUUUGAUUUUCUGAAGUGCCUGAAGAACAUGAACUAGAUGUAUCGUUUAAUGAAAGUGAAUUUGAGGUUUUAGAAAUGGUAGAUUUACCCAUUGUUAAAUCAGAUAAUUCAAAAGAAGUUGAUGUUGAUGUAUCGACCGUAUUGUUAUAUGCAUGAGACUAUAAAGUAUAAUUAAUUUUUUUUUAAAUUUUUUUUAUGCAUAUAUUUUUAAUGUAAUACUAACAAAUAGAUUAAAACAAACCUCUGUGUCUGUAGAUUCUUCAUUUUCAUUAAUACAGGGUAUUGGUAUAGCAUCUUUUUUAAGUUGUAAUCUUUUCAAACAUACCUAAUAGUUAAUAAUAUAAUUUUAAAGUUUGUUAAUUAUUAAGAUAAUGUAAAUUAAUACAUUUUAAUAUGUCUGGAAAUUGAAAUCAACUUAUAUAUUUAUAUAAUUAAGUGUAGUACUUACAGUGUACUUGUUUGACCCUUCACCAGAUUCCCAAGUGCUUUUAACAUCACACAUUUUAAAAUGAUUUGCGCAAAUGUGAUUAUUUUUUUUUAGCAAUAUCC